GAGGGUAUAGCUCAGUGGUAGAGUGCCUGCUUAGCAUUCAUGCUGUCCUGAGUUCAAUCCCCAGUACCUCCA
rnacentral:tRNA from 1 species